rnacentral:lncRNA from 1 species
AGCAUCAUUCGUGGGAUUGUCUUCCUCCAAUUGAAGGACAUUAGAGCAGCUUGCUUUGUCAAACAUUGGAUUUUUUGGGCUUUGCUCCAAUUGAGGAAUUGGAGGUAUUGGAGUACUUGGAGUAAUUGGAGUCAUUGGUGUAGUUGGAGUUUGACCGAGCAAGUUGGGAUCAAAGUUGACUGAAUUGUUUCAACAAAAUUUCCCUCUAUGCUCUGAUUGCCUCCAAAACACUUUGCUUUAC